UUGACCUCAAAUCAGGUAGGACUACCCGCUGAACUUAAGCAUAUCAAUAAGCGGAGGAAAAGAAACUAACAAGGAUUCCCCUAGUAACUGCGAGUGAAGAGGGAAAAGCUCAAAUUUAAAAUCUGGCAGCUUCGCUGUCCGAGUUGUAAUUUAGAGAAGUGUUACCCGUGCUGGACCGUGUACAAGUCUCCUGGAACGGAGCGUCAUAGAGGGUGAGAAUCCCGUCUUUGACACGGACUCCCAGUGCAUUGUGGUACGCUCUCAAAGAGUCGUGUUGUUUGGGAAUGCAGCACUAAAUGGGUGGUAAAUUCCAUCUAAAGCUAAAUAUUGGCGAGAGACCGAUAGCAAACAAGUACCGUGAGGGAAAGAUGAAAAGAACUUUGGAAAGAGAGUUAAACAGUACGUGAAAUUGUUGAAAGGGAAACGCUUAAAGUCCAGUCGCGUUGGUUGGAAAUCAGUCUUGCUUCUGCUUGAUGUACUUUCUAACUGACGGGUCAGCAUCAGUUUUGACCGUUGGAUAAAGGUUGGAGGAAUGUGGCAUCUUCGGGUGUGUUAUAGCCUUCGAUUGUAUACAACGGUUGGGACUGAGGAACUCAGCACGCCGAAAGGCCGGGUCUUGUACCACGUUCGUGCUUAGGAUGCUGGCAUAAUGGCUUUAAUCGACCCGUC
rnacentral:rRNA from 1 species